CCCGGAGGUGGCCGAGAGGCCGCAGGAUCUGGUGGUGUACGGCGGGACCGGUCGCGCCGCCCGUGACUGGCCGUCGUUCCACGCGAUCGUCCGGGA
rnacentral:tRNA from 1 species